rnacentral:rRNA from 1 species
GAUGAACGCUGACAGAAUGCUUAACACAUCAGCAAUUGAUUGGUGGCGGACGGGUGAGUAACGCGUAAAGAACUUGCCUCACAGGUAGGGACAACAUUUGGAAACGAAUGCUAAUACCUAAUACUGUGAGAGAGCUUUGCGUCCCAUUAGCUAGUUGGAGAGGUAACGGCUCACCAAGGCGAUGAUGGGUAGCCGGCCUGAGAGGGUGAUCGGCCCCAGAGGGCUUGGGGCACUGCCCUUACGCCUACGGGAGGCAGCAGUGGGGAAUAUUGGACAAUGGACCACAGUCUGAUCCAGGAAUUCUGUGUGUACGAUGAAGUUUUAGGAAUGUAAAGUGCUGUCAGUUGGUAAGCGGUACCAACAGAAGAAGCGACGGCUAAAUACGUGCCAGCAGCCGCGGUAAUAC